AGAUUGAACGCCUGGCGGCAGGCCUAACACAUCCAAGUCGAGCGGUAGAGAGUAGCUUGCUAUUCUUGAGAGCGGCGGACGGGUGAGUAAUGCCUAGGAAUCUGCCUAGUGGUGGGGGAUAACGUUCGGAAACGGACGCUAAUACCGCAUACGUCCUACGGGAGAAAGCGGGGGACCUUCGGGCCUCGCGCCAUUAGAUGAGCCUAGGUCGGAUUAGCUAGUUGGUGAGGUAACGGCUCACCAAGGCGACGAUCCGUAACUGGUCUGAGAGGAUGAUCAGUCACACUGGAACUGAGACACGGUCCAGACUCCUACGGGAGGCAGCAGUGGGGAAUAUUGGACAAUGGGCGAAAGCCUGAUCCAGCCAUGCCGCGUGUGUGAAGAAGGUCUUCGGAUUGUAAAGCACUUUAAGUUGGGAGGAAGGGUAGUAACUUAAUACGU
rnacentral:rRNA from 1 species